GGGGGGGGGGGGGGGGGGGGGUGGCGGGGGGGGGGGGGGGGGGGGGGGGGGGGGGGGGGGGGGUGGGCGGGGGGCGAACGGGUGAGUGGCACGGGGGUGACCUGCCCUUGACUGUGGGAGAAGGUCAGGGAACUGGGGCUAAUACCGGAUAGGAGCUCCUGCUGCAUGGUGGGGGUUGGAAAGUUUCGGCGGUUGGGGAUGGACUCGCGGCUUAUCAGCUUGUUGGGGGGGUAGUGGCUUACCAAGGCUUUGACGGGUAGCCGGCCUGAGAGGGUGACCGGCCACAUUGGGACUGAGAUACGGCCCAGACUCCUACGGGAGGCAGCAGUGGGGAAUAUUGCACAAUGGGCGGAAGCCUGAUGCAGCAACGCCGCGUGCGGGAUGACGGCCUUCGGGUUGUAAACCGCUUUCGCCUGUGACGAAGCGUGAGUGACGGUAAUGGGUAAAGAAGCACCGGCUAACUACGUG
rnacentral:rRNA from 1 species